GUUUGGGGGGGCUUUUUUGCUCCCCUGCUUAUAAGCACCAGAGCAACAAGUGUUUGGUGAGUGAGCUUAUGGUCAGCUUUUGGAAAAAGCUGCCCCAGCUUUCCCCAGCUUUUAGAAGCCGACUCCCCCCAGCUUUUAGAAGCCAGAAGCCCGCUGAGUACUGUAGCGGUGAUUACUGUUCAUUAAUGAAUUUUUUUAAAUCCCGGUUUCUACCCUCCGUUGGCUGAAGCAAUUACAAUGAACUGCCAUCAAACCCUCGAUAUCGAUAUCAGUCUCUCGCUCUCCCAUCUCCCUCUGCUCGAUCCCAUCUCCCUCUGCUCGAUCACAGAACGCAUCCCAUCCCAUCAAGCAAGCCUCGAUCUCCCUCUGCUCGAUCUCCCUCUCACAGAACCCAUCCAGUCGCCGCCACAUCUCGCGCAUCCCAUUCGAUCUCCCUCUAAUCACAGAACCCAUCGAGUCGCCGCCGCAUCUCGAUCUCCCUCUAAUCACAGAACCCAUCAGUCGCCGCAUCUCGAUCUUGGCCUCACUUGCAUCUCAUCAGGAUUUCGGAAGUGAAAUUGAAGCCUCAAUCAAGCAAGUUUCCCAGCACAGGAAGCUAGCUAGCAGGUAGCAGAAAAAGAGAUCAGAUCAGAAAAGUGGUGCAGGUCUCAUAUUAUAGCUAGUCUGGAUCAUGUGAUUCUAGAGUUUAAAUGAUAUAUGUGAUUCUAGAGUUUAAAUGAUAUCAACUAAAUUUUGUGGUGGGCAUAGAGCCAGUUUGUAGUACACUUUUAUUCAAGUAACUCGAUGGAUUAUCAUCAAAUCUAUAUUUUAACAGUUUGAUAUUUGCUAGCA